rnacentral:rRNA from 1 species
UACGUAGGUGACCAGCGUUGUCCGGAUUUACUGGGCGUAAAGGGCGCGUAGGCGGCCACCGCAAGUCGGUUGUGAAAUCUCUGGGCUUAACCCAGAAAGGUCAACCGAUACUGCGGGGCUAGAGUGCAGAAGGGGCAACUGGAAUUCUCGGUGUAGCGGUGAAAUGCGUAGAUAUCGAGAGGAACACCUGCGGCGAAGGCGGGUUGCUGGGCUGACACUGACGCUGAAGCGCGAAAGCUAGGGGAGCGAACAGG